rnacentral:rRNA from 1 species
GAGGUAGGCCGACACUGUUUACUUUGAACAAAUUAGAGUGCUUAAAGCAGGCUCUUAAAUCAGCCUGAAUAAUGGUGCAUGGAAUAAUGGAACAGGACCUUGGUUCUAUUUUGUUGGUUUUAAGAAUCCAAGGUAAUGAU